CUCCUCUCUUCUCCUCUCCUGCCGGCUGUGGGCUCCCGACUGCUCGGCCCAUGCGGCUGCUCGGUUCCAGUUCCAAGGUCCAGCGGUGGCCAGACUAGCCUGGCACACUAGGUAGCAAGUCCCCCACCCCCUCCCGCUCUGCCCCAGUCCCCCAUCCUCUCCUGGAUAUGUAGUGAAACCUGAUUGUGCGGCUGCCAUCCUGAUUUUGCUGACACCCCAGCACUUCCUGGGCGAGUCCCUGCUGCCAUUAAUGGUCAUUAAGCAAGUGCCGUUUUGCCCAUUGCUGUCACUUGCCGUAACUCCAAGCCGAUCGCCCUGCACCCAAGUCUUGAGCGUGCAACCCUGGAGAUGCUGCUACAGUCAUAUGUGCGAGGACCCGUGAUACAUCACACUUUUCAGUACCAUUGGAAGUGUAGGCACAGCGAGUAUCUCCCUCGUUUGGAUGUGUCAGAAGAAAGAGACAGUUCCCAUUGAGGCAGAAUUAGGGGGCGAGACUAGAAAUGUGGGGCUCAAUCCCGGAUCACAGUGGUGCUGAUACCUGCCGUGUUAGCAGCCUCCGUUCCUGUGGACAAACUGCCAAUCCACCAUCUCAAAGCUCAAGGCAGUGAACAUACCGAAGACUCCUUCGUCCCUACAACAACAAGCUUGUGAGACAGGUCAGCAACAGGGAAGAAACGGCCCUAAAGUGAAUAUCCCUGGGCUAUCUCUCUGUGGCCAGUGAUGGUUAAGCAGUCAAGAGAUGCCUUUGACCUUCAGACCCAGGAAUUCAAGAGACAAACAAUGGAUGAAAGAGCAGCACACUUGCCUCAAGAAGACGGUCGAUCAACUAAAGAGCACAACAAAAAAGUGGCAGAAAACUGCUGGACAAAAGAGAAAGGUUGGAGCGUGCCACCACCAUGAUCCCUCAGCGAGGGCUAAAGAUCAAAUAUUUGGUGAAACACACUGAAGAACUGCACAAAGAACGCUGCAGGUCAGCAGCCAAGCGGCCUUUCUCAAAUAUGAGAAGGCUGCCUUAGAACCUUUGAGAAGAGGUCUCGAAGAAGUCUGGAACCUUCUUAAGAACUGAAGAAGCACCUCUAAAGUCUGCAGCAUGAACAGGUUGAGACGGGCCAAAGUUACUAUGUGGAGAAAAGCCACUCCAGCCAACUGAUGCAGAAAGUCAGUCCUCUUCAGCAGAAUUUGAGGGAAAAAAAGAAGCAAGUCAACAAUCUACAGCAGCAACAGCAGCCGCCGCAGAGCUAUGCUUCCCAGGCUACAGUUGGAGACCUGUGGAAAGCCGAGGAGGACAACGGAGAAGGACUGAACCAUGUCAAAAUGACAAUGCAAGAAUUAGAGCUGCAGACCAGGUGUUUCGAGAAAGACAGUGAAGAUCUCCACAGGGAGGUCCCCAGCCAAGUGGCCUUCUUCAGAAAUGGUUUUGGCGCUCCUAAGC